rnacentral:miRNA from 14 species
AUCCUGGACGAGCCCCCAAAUGAAAGAUCCCUGAAGAGAGACCCUUACUCAAGUCUUGGGAAAUAGAGAACCCCAGACACAGAGAGACCA